rnacentral:rRNA from 1 species
AGUGGCGGACGGGUGAGUAACGCGUGAGAAUCUACCUUCAGGACGGGGACAACAGCUGGAAACGGCUGCUAAUACCCGAUAUGCCGAAAGGUGAAAAGUUAUUUCGCCUGGAGAGGAGCUCGCGUCCGAUUAGCUAGUUGGUGGGGUAAAAGCUUACCAAGGCAACGAUCGGUAGCUGGUCUGAGAGGAUGAGCAGCCACACUGGAACUGAGACACGGUCCAGACUCCUACGGGAGGCAGCAGUGGGGAAUUUUCCGCAAUGGGCGAAAGCCUGACGGAGCAACGCCGCGUGGGGGAAGAAGGUUUUUGGAUUGUAAACCCCUUUUCUCAAGGAAGAACAAAAUGACGGUACUUGAGGAAUCAGCCUCGGCUAACUCCGUGCCAGCAGCCGCGGUAAUACGGAGGAGGCAAGCGUUAUCCGGAAUUAUUGGGCGUAAAGCGUUCGUAGGCGGCUGUUCAAGUCUGCUGUCAAAGACCGAGGCUCAACCUCGGGUCGGCAGUGGAAACUGGAUAGCUAGAGGUCGGUAGGGGCAGAGGGAAUUCCCAGUGUAGCGGUGAAAUGCGUAGAUAUUGGGAAGAACACCGGUGGCGAAAGCGCUCUGCUGGGCCGAACCUGACGCUGAGGGACGAAAGCUAGGGGAGCGAAUGGGACUAGAUACCCC